UAUCAGGCCGGCCCAAGACAUCUAGCUACGCCACACCCAGGGUUCUCAGCAGUGAUUAACAUUAAGAUAAACGUCAGUUUAACUUAGUUAGCGAAUAAAGAGUCGGCUAAUCUGGUGCCAGCCGCCGCGGUUACACCAGAGACCCAAAUUGAUUCGGCGUAAAGCGUGAUUAAAGGGUCAAAACUAAAUUAAACUGUCGCACGAUUAUUAUUGAAAAGCCCUCCUCAAAAGACACCCCAACCCACCAACUUGAACUCACAACAACUAGGACUCAAACUGGGAUUAGAUACCCCACUAUGCCUAGUCAUAAACUUUAAUUUACCGCCAGGGAACUACGAGCAAAGCUUAAAACCCAAAGGACUUGACGGUGCCCCACAUCCCCCUAGAGGAGCCUGUCCUAUAAUCGAUACUCCCCGUUCAACCUCACCACUCUUAGCUCAGCCUGUAUACUUCCGUCAUCAGUUUACCGCGUGAGCGUAGUAAACUAAAUGUUCCCGUCAAUACGUCAGGUCAAAGUGCAGCAUAUAGUGUGGCAAGAGAUGGGCUACACUUUCUAUAGAAAACACGAAAAUUAUGUGAAAUACUCAGAAGGCGGAUUUAGCAGUAAGAGAUUAGAGUACCCCUCUUAACGGCACUGGGGUGUGUACACACCGCCCGUCACCCUCC
rnacentral:rRNA from 1 species